UACGGAGGGAGCUAGCGUUGUUCGGAAUUACUGGGCGUAAAGGGCGCGUAGGCGGCCUGCUAAGUCGAACGUGAAAUCCCCGGGCUCAACCCGGGAACUGCGUCCGAUACUGGCAGGCUUGAAUCCGGGAGAGGGAUGUGGAAUUCCAGGUGUAGCGGUGAAAUGCGUAGAUAUCUGGAGGAACACCGGUGGCGAAGGCGGCAUCCUGGACCGGUAUUGACGCUGAUGCGCGAAAGCCAGGGGAGCAAACGGG
rnacentral:rRNA from 1 species